CCUGUUUUCCCGCCGUUUUGUGCUGUGUGAGUCCGCUAACCAGUUAAUGUCGCUGUCGCGUCACGUCGUGUGCASKUUGUCAUUUGUAGUGUUAGUGUAAUGUGAUCAUCAGCUUCAUGUGUUAUGUUCUCGUGCAGUGUGUUCAUCAAUUGGAUUUUACUGUGUGUGUAUCGGAUAGUUUACAUGUGAAACCAUUUGAUGAAUAAAUCGAAUCAGUGCAUAUGAA